GGUUCCUUGGUGUAAUGGUUAGCACUCUGAAUCCUGCGAUCCGAGUUCAAAUCUCGGUGGGACCG
rfam:Danio rerio chromosome 4, GRCz11 reference primary assembly.